UACGUAGGGUGCGAGCGUUAAUCGGAAUUACUGGGCGUAAAGCGUGCGCAGGCGGUCUGUUAAGACCGAUGUGAAAUCCCCGGGCUUAACCUGGGAACUGCAUUGGUGACUGGCAGGCUUGAGUGUGGCAGAGGGGGGUAGAAUUCCACGUGUAGCAGUGAAAUGCGUAGAGAUGUGGAGGAAUACCGAUGGCGAAGGCAGCCCCUGGGCCCAACACUGACCGCUCAUGCACGAAAGCGUGGGGAGCAAACAGG
rnacentral:rRNA from 1 species